rnacentral:ncRNA from 1 species
GAGAGCGCAGUACAACGGAUAGUUGUAUGCUGCGUUCGGGAAGGAUGAAUCGCUCNCGAAAAGGAAUCUAUUGAUUCUUUUCUAAUUGCUUGGACUGUAGGUGCGAUGAUUUACUUCAC